rnacentral:rRNA from 1 species
GACGAACGCUGGCGGCGUGCUUAACACAUGCAAGUCGAACGAUGACGACCGAGCUUGCUCGGUCUGAUUAGUGGCGAACGGGUGAGUAACACGUGAGCAACCUGCCCUUCACUCUGGGAUAACCUCGGGAAAUCGGGGCUAAUACCGGAUAUGAGCUCCUGUUGCAUGGCGGGUGUUGGAAAGUUUUUCGGUGAAGGAUGGGCUCGCGGCCUAUCAGUUUGUUGGUGGGGUAGUGGCUCACCAAGGCGAUGACGGGUAGCCGGCCUGAGAGGGCGACCGGCCACACUGGGACUGAGACACGGCCCAGACUCCUACGGGAGGCAGCAGUGGGGAAUAUUGCACAAUGGGCGGAAGCCUGAUGCAGCGACGCCGCGUGAGGGAUGACGGCCUUCGGGUUGUAAACCUCUUUCAGCAGGGAAGAAGCGAAAGUGACGGUACCUGCAGAAGAAGCGCCGGCUAACUACGUG